rnacentral:lncRNA from 1 species
UGCCGUCGUAAUAUGUUUAUUUGUUUGUUGCUGUUAGAGUUUCAAUUUACUUUUUUUGAACCAAAAUUUGUGGGCAGCAAUAAGGAAGUGCUGGCAUUGCAAUGUCAUAUCAGUGCUCCAGAGAAGUGUUCCUUUUUAGUUUUAACCAUGCAUUUUUUAAAUUAAUACUUGGUGACCAAUGGAAUCAAUCAGAAUAACAACUUCAGUGUAAUGAAGGAUAAAGCAUUUUUACUUUCAGCUCCUCCCCGUGCUUGUGAUGGAUUGGUCCAUUAUCUGUUAAUUUCUGCAUAACAAAAUGAAGGACUGGAUGGUAAGCUUAACAUUAUCAUCUCUCUAGUUAGACAAUCACAGUGGUAAAAAUAAUUUGGGGGAUAAGAAUAUUUUUUUGUGCUAGCAGCGAGCAGAUAUGUUCCUGCUAGUACAAUGUAUUGUUGAUGCAUAUUCAUUUCAUUAGUUCAUGAGGAAAUACUUUAGGUGCCCUUGCACGUCUUGUACUCAAACUGAAUAAUUUGUUUGGUGUCAUCUUUUCCAGAACAUGAAGACUGAAGAGCAAGAAGCACUAUAACUGGAGGCAAGAAGGGAGUAUUUUUUCUUUCAUGUGCUAUCAAGAUAACAAACCCGAUGCAAGUUUUGGUAGCAAUGUUUAUUCAGCGGGCAUCAUUUCAGUCCUUCAUUCUCAGGCUCGCUGUUCAUGUACACCAUGUCAUGUUUGUCUAGCCGAAUUAAGAUAGAUGACAUGCACUCAAAUAUUUCUGCCCAGGAUGAUCCACUUAGACAUGUAUUCAGAAAUUUGUGUGUCUUGUCAUGUAUUCAGAAAUUGGUGCUUGACAUGUACUCUCAUAUUUGUGUUUGGGGUGGUCCAACAUGGGAUGAACUAGUACAAGCAACUAUUGUAUAAUUUGGGCAUCAACGAUGUGAAGAUUUGAAAUUGGGAUAAAACGAUUGGAUAUGAGAAAGUUGGGGUUCUUACUGCAAA